rnacentral:rRNA from 1 species
GACGAACGCUGGCGGCGUGCUUAACACAUGCAAGUCGAACGAUGAAAUGGAGCUUGCUCCAUGGAUUAGUGGCGAACGGGUGAGUAACACGUGAAUAACCUGCCCUUAAUUUUGGAAUAACCCAGGGAAACCUGGGCUAAUACCGGAUAAGUAAACCUGUGGCAUCACAUGGUUUUGGAAAGUUGUUCGAUUAAGGAUGGAUUCGCGGCCUAUCAGCUUGUUGGUGAGGUAAUGGCUCACCAAGGCGACGACGGGUAGCCGGCCUGAGAGGGGGAACGGCCACACUGGGACUGAGACACGGCCCAGACUCCUACGGGAGGCAGCAGUGGGGAAUAUUGCGCAAUGGACGAAAGUCUGACGCAGCGACGCCUCGUGAGGGACGAAGGUCUUCGGAUUGUAAACCUCUUUCAGCAGGGACGAAGCGAAAGUGACGGUACCUGCAGAAGAAGCACCGGCUAACUAUGUGCCAGCAGCCGCCGUAA